rnacentral:misc_RNA from 1 species
UCGCGGCUUAUCACCGGCAGUCCCCUUAGGGUGCCCAACUUAAUGAUGGCAACUAAGGGCGAGGGUUGCGCUCGUUGCGGGACUUAACCCAACAUCUCACGACACGAGCUGACGACAGCCAUGCAGCACCUGUCACCGGUCCAGCCGAACUGAAGGACUCGAUCUCUCGAGUCCGCGACCGGGAUGUCAAGGGCUGGUAAGGUUCUGCGCGUUGCUUCGAAUUAAACCACGUGCUCCACCGCUUGUGCGGGCCCCCGUCAAUUCCUUUGAGCUUUAACCUUGCGGCCGUGCUCCCCAGGCGGGAUGCUUAAUGCGUUAGCUGCGCCACCAACAAGCAUGCUUGCUGACGGCUAGCAUCCAUCGUUUACGGCGUGGACUAC